CUCCCAGAGGGCUUUGUAGAGGACCCACAGAAACCAAGAUCCCAUUGGGGCCAGGCUAGGAGUUCACACCACUAUCAUUCAACCUGGGCGAUAAGAUCCUUCUAUCUCAAGGCACCUGUCACUCCUCAUUUAGUCUCAGUUCCUCACCUGCCUGACGUCUGCCCUUGAGGAGGAGGCGGCCCUGUUUGCAGUAUUUGCAGACGUCGGGGAGCACGGGUGACGGAGAGAAGGAAAGCGAAGCUCCACCUGGGAGGGGUGUCUGCAAGUCUGUGUGGUGGUGAUGUCCUUGAGUCAAGCACCAACGCUGCAAACAUCGUAUCUGGUCUACUUUGUGGUUCUCAAAACACGUUACACCUGCUAGUGACAUUCCUCUUUCUAGAUGAAAGCUGCUGGCCUGAUAGGCUUCCAUCAGCCCUGCUGCUCACGCUAGCCAUAACCACUGCCUCCUGCCAGACUGUGCUGUGCCCACCUGGUCCAUCUCAACCAAAUUCAAGCCUACAUUAAAAAUGUUUAUUCUAUUGGGCUCCACACUCUUUUAAUACCGGCCCAUGCUAACUCAUUGAAAUGCUAAAGGAACUGUCCCUGAGGCUACUUUAUAAAGGUUGGAGAUGACCUGGGAUGAUACUGAUUUACCCAUUUAAUAGGUUUUCAAAAUCCAAACCAAAUAAAACACAACCAUGCCACAUCUA